CAUCUUGGAGCAGCGGUGCUGGGAGGAGUUGUGUUUCUAUGUGUGUCUGUAGCAGCGUUCUGCAUCUGCAAGAAAAAGAAGAACACGCCCACAACAGAUGGCCAAUCACAGGAUGUUGUGUAUUCCCAAUGCAGAAAGAAUCAAUCCUCCCCACUAGGUGGCAGCUGUGAGCUGGAGUAUGCUGAGGUGUCCAUUCUGAAGAGGAGGAAGACGGAGGAGAGGAGGAGAGAGGACGACACCGUGGAGUACGGAGAGAUCAGACAGCCAGGAUCCACCAAUCACACGCCAGCAGAGGCACCAGAACCCACCAAUCACACGCC